rnacentral:rRNA from 1 species
AUUGAGCGCUGGCGGCAUGCCUUACACAUGCAAGUCGAACGGCAGCACGGGGGCAACCCUGGUGGCGAGUGGCGAACGGGUGAGUAAUGCAUCGGAACGUGCCCCGUAGCGGGGAUAACCAGUCGAAAGACUGGCUAAUACCGCAUACGCUCCACGGAGGAAAGCAGGGGAUCGCAAGACCUUGCACUAUGGGAGCGGCCGAUGCCCGAUUAGCUAGNGGUGAGGUAAAGGCUCACCAAGGCGACGAUCGGUAGCUGGUUUGAGAGAACGACCAGCCACACUGGGACUGAGACACGGCCCAGACUCCUACGGGAGGCAGCAGUGGGGAAUUUUGGACAAUGGGCGCAAGCCUGAUCCAGCCAUGCCGCGUGCGGGAUGAAGGCC